AGUCAACGCUGGCGGCGUGCCUAACACAUGCAAGUCGAACGCGAAAGGGGCUUCGGCCCUGAGUAGAGUGGCGAACGGGUGAGUAACGCGUGGGUGACCUACCUUCGAGUGGGGGAUAACGUUCCGAAAGGAGCGCUAAUACCGCAUGAAGUUCCGGGUUUGAACAUCUGGAAACCAAAGCCGGGGAUCGCAAGACCUGGCGCUUGGAGAGGGGCCCGCGUCUGAUUAGCUAGUUGGCGGGGUAAUGGCCCACCAAGGCGACGAUCAGUAGCCGGCCUGAGAGGGCGGAGGGCCACACUGGGACUGAGACACGGCCCAGACUCCUACGGGAGGCAGCAGUGGGGAAUUGUUCGCAAUGGGAGCAAGCCUGACGACGCAACGCCGCGUGGGGGAUGAAGGUCUUCGGAUUGUAAACCCUUGUCGAGCGGGACGAAUGGCCCGCGACCUAAUACGUCGUGGGAGUGACGGUACCGCUAAAGGAAGCCACGGCUAACUCUGUGCCAGCCGCCGCAGUAAUAC
rnacentral:rRNA from 1 species